CCUACGGGAGGCAGCAGUGAGGAAUAUUGGUCAAUGGGCGGGAGCCUGAACCAGCCAAGCCGCGUGAGGGAAGAAGGUACAGCGUAUCGUAAACCUCUUUUGUCAGGGAACAAAGGCGGGGACUAGUCCCCGGAUGAGGGUACCUGAAGAAAAAGCAUCGGCUAACUCCGUGCCAGCAGCCGCGGUAAUACGGAGGAUGCGAGCGUUAUCCGGAUUUAUUGGGUUUAAAGGGUGGGCAGGCGGCCUGUUAAGUCAGCGGGAAAAGCCCGGGGCGCAACCCCGGCGAGCCGUUGAAACUGGCGGGCUGGAGUUGGAGAGAAGUACGCGGAAUGCGCGGUGUAGCGGUGAAAUGCUUAGAUAUCGCGCAGAACCCCGAUUGCGAAGGCAGCGUACCGGCUCCACACUGACGCUGAGGCACGAAAGCGUGGGUAUCGAACAGGAGUAGAUACCCGAGUAGUC
rnacentral:rRNA from 1 species